GUGAAGGCGGCGCAAUCGCCUGGAUUUAGUUGCAAUUAUUUUUAAUGUUGUUUACUUACUCUUCCAAUUGAUGAUGCCAAUAACUGUUUCAGAACUUCUCGCUCAAAUCGAUGUGCGCACACACACAUACAUACAUGCAUGCAUGUAUAUACACUUUCCAGUGUUGUUAAGUGUUCAAAAUAUCGUAAAUAUGAAUUGAAAGUCGAGCAGCAUUGCAAAAUAUCGUAAAUAUGAGCCCAAAGUGUAGAAAGAGUUGGAUUGCAAAAUAUUUUGUAUUCAAAAUAGAUUCGUGGCUGCAUAAGUCGUAGCCACAAUGCAGACUGGUAUGUGAGCCAAUAUAUAUAUUCGAGGAACUCACGCUGAGCUUUGGCAGCUUGGGACCUUUAGCUAAUGGGAGUCGGAGGCAAAAGUAUUCAUAAAUAAUCCCAUGAAAUUACCACACGCAUCAGACAUUCAAGAGUUUUCCGCUUUCGAGCCUAUUUCUGGGGGCAAUCUCAAUUACGAGAACAAGGGCACACAGCUAGACAGAAGUCGAUCGAAAAACUAAUCAAAUGCCGCUGCCCCCCAAAAAAUAGAGUGAAACAGGGCAGAAAAAGAAACCAGAUGAGUCCUCGCCGCGAGUGGCACGUGGAGUAUGAAACAUUCAUUUGACGCAUGCGACAUGCCACAUCAGAGUCGGAGUCGGAGUCGGAGUUGGAGACGAAGACGAAGGACGGGAGUGAUGCGCGAAUUUGAUAUUAUUGUAUAUGGCUGUGCGUGACGUUGCAUCACGGACGAAAUGGAUGGAAAUCGUGAUGGAAGCUCGUCGAGCAUAACAAGAGCCGCCAACUGACGCCUGAUGGGCUGCAUCAGUCUCAGCAUCGGCAUCGGCAUCAAUGAAAGUGGCGUCAAACACCAACCAAGUGAGCUCAGCCCUGGCAACAUUUGGAGACGCCAUUCACACGUACCGCUCAUACAUAUCCGAGACACACAGGACUCGAGUUUAACCUUGUGCCUGGAGCGAAGGACGCAUUGGGGGAGCACUGUUCUCGAGCACACUCGCACAUCGGGCCAACAACCGGUCGAACUGAAUGUUAGCUAAAUUACCUAAGCAGAGCACAGAAUUGGGUGUUUUAGUAUUUCCAGUAUUAUAUUGACUCUCCAGGAGAAGAGCAUCUCAGCUAGUUUAUGAAUACAAUUGUGUCUUGGCUCAGAUCGAAUCAUUUCAUAUGGAUAGCUAAUUAUGUUAGAGUGUUAAUGGAACUGUAAUCUAAUCUUUGACUUGUCUUAAACAAUUUCAAAUGAAGAACCUAUUUUUUCUGUUUAAAUUAUAAUAUUUGAAACUCGGA